rnacentral:rRNA from 2 species
CAGCCACACUGGAACUGAGACACGGUCCAGACUCCUACGGGAGGCAGCAGUGGGGAAUAUUGCACAAUGGGCGCAAAGCCUGAUGCAGCCAUGCCGCGUGUAUGAAGAAGGCCUUCGGGUUGUAAAGUACUUUCAGCCGGGAGGAAGGGAGUAAAGUUAAUACCUUUGCUCAUUGACGUUACCCGCAGAAGAAGCACCGGCUAACUCCGUGCCAGCAGCCGCGGUAAUACGGAGGGUGCAAGCGUUAAUCGGAAUUACUGGGCGUAAAGCGCACGCAGGCGGUUUGUUAAGUCAGAUGUGAAAUCCCCGGGCUCAACCUGGGAACUGCAUCUGAUACUGGCAAGCUUGAGUCUCGUAGAGGGGGGUAGAAUUCCAGGUGUAGCGGUGAAAUGCG